rnacentral:lncRNA from 1 species
GCGACUAGGGGGCGGUGGGGGUCUCCGGGAAAACGAAGCCGUCAUCUGUGUGCCCAGGCCCACCCUGAGAUGGUUUGUUGUUUUUUUUAGCAGGCGGGCAGAGACCAUCACGUGGGAAACAAAUCAGGAAAGGGGCUUGCCGGCAAAAACGGGUGUGCGGCAGGCGGGCGGGCUGGCAGGCGGGCGGGCGGGCGUCGGGGAGGGGGGCUGAAUCAGAAAGCAGCCUGAACAAUAGAAAGAGAGAGAGAAGAGGAGGGGGCGGGUACAGCUUGCUCCUCUCUACUGCCGGUCGCUCUGCGUGUGUUUGUGUGUUUGUAUACACGCACGCCUUCGGGGGAAGACGGGCAGGAACUGAGGAACAUUAACACCCCCCACGGACGCAGAUCUCAGCAGACGCCCUGGCAGAGAUGGGGAGCGCCUAAGCUGGCUGCUGACGACUCCUUCAUCCCUCCCUCCCUCCUUCUCCAUCCCUCUGUGUCCAUCCCUCCAUCCAUCCUUCCUCCCUCCCUCCUCUUCCCCACACGCCCUCCUUGCCUCCCUCCUUGUGGCGUGCGCGUGUGCCUGUGUGUCUCUUUCCCCCCCCCCCCGCGCGCCAUCCCCAUCCCAUCCCAUCCCCUCCUCUCCUCCACCAACACCGCCUCCUUCUCCGCCGCCGCCUCCUCGUUUUCCCCAGCCCACUGGAUAGUACCCAGGGCGCCGGGCUCUCUGCUGCUGCUGUUCGUGCUGAGCCGCCUUCGCCGCCAGCGCCACGAUGAACCCGGCCGAGGGAGCAGCGGAGGAAGGGGCGCUUCCCGAUUCCGAGGUGGACGCCUUUUUCCGAACAGUUGCAUAAUGGCUGUACCGUCUGCUCAUCAGUGACAAUGGAGAACCCCUGCAGUGCAGUGCAAAGUACAUUGAGAGGCUAUUGGAUAAUUAGAAGUACCUGGAUUAUAUACAUGGCAGUAACUCUGGCUGCAUCCGCAUACGAAAACAGCUCAAAAGCAGCUUAGGAUUGAUAGNGCGUGGACGCUAGUGUUCCCAUCCCACCUCUAAUCCACAUUAAAGCCCUUUGGGUUGCAUUUUCUGGCCUUUAGUAUCNAUUGGAGGCCCUACAUGUAGAUGCUACUACCUCUAAACUGCUCUGGGACCAUUUUUUUCUCCUGCAGGUCAAUGCAGGUUCAGUGUGUAUUGGGCAGAAAUAAAGGCAAAUGGGAAAUAAUGCUGUGAAAAAAU